GCCUCCUACGGGAGGCAGCAGUGAGGAAUAUUGGUCAAUGGGAGAGAUCCUGAACCAGCCAAGCCGCGUGAGGGAAGACGGCCCUAUGGGUUGUAAACCUCUUUUGCCGGGGAGCAAGGGCGGGGACGUGUCCCGGCCCGGAGAGUACCCGGAGAAAAAGCAUCGGCUAACUCCGUGCCAGCAGCCGCGGUAAUACGGAGGAUGCGAGCGUUAUCCGGAUUUAUUGGGUUUAAAGGGUGCGUAGGCGGGCUUUUAAGUCAGCGGUAAAAAUUCGGGGCUCAACCCCGUCCGGCCGUUG
rnacentral:rRNA from 1 species